GACGAACGCUGGCGGCGUGCUUAACACAUGCAAGUCGAACGGAAAGGCCCCUUCGGGGGUGCUCGAGUGGCGAGCGGGUGAGUAACACGUGGGUGAUCUGCCCUGCACUUUGGGAUAAGCCUGGGAAACUGGGUCUAAUACCGGAUAGGACCACGGGAUGCAUGUCCUGUGGUGGAAAGCUUUUGCGGGGUGGGAUGGGCCCGCGGCCUAUCAGCUUGUUGGUGGGGUGAUGGCCUACCAAGGCGACGACGGGUAGCCGGCCUGAGAGGGUGUCCGGCCACACUGGGACUGAGAUACGGCCCAGACUCCUACGGGAGGCAGCAGUGGGGAAUAUUGCACAAUGGGCGCAAGCCUGAUGCAGCGACGCCGCGUGAGGGAUGACGGCCUUCGGGUUGUAAACCUCUUUCAACGCCGACGAAGGGCAACUGACGGUAGGCGUAGAAGAAGCACCGGCCAACUACGUGCCAGCAGCAGCCGCGG
rnacentral:rRNA from 1 species